CAUGCAGUCGAGGGGCAGCAUGGGACUUCGGUCCUGAUGGCGACCGGCGCACGGGUGAGUAACGCGUACGCAACUUGCCUCCAAGCGGGGGAUAGCCCCGGGAAACUGGGAUUAAUACCCCAUAGCAUCAUUUUAUCGCCUGGUAGAAUGAUUAAAGCUUAGGCGCUUGGAGAUGGGCGUGCGUGCCAUUAGCUAGUUGGUAAGGUAACGGCUUACCAAGGCUACGAUGGCUAGGGGGCGUGAGAGCGUGGCCCCCCACACGGGUACUGAGACACGGACCCGACUCCUACGGGAGGCAGCAGUAAGGAAUAUUGGACAAUGGAGGCAACUCUGAUCCAGCCAUCCCGCGUGCAGGAUGACGGCCCUAUGGGUUGUAAACUGCUUUUGCGAGGGAAGAAACGGUGCUAUUUAUAGCAUUUUGACGGUACCUCGAGAAUAAGCACCGGCUAACUCCGUGCCAGCAGCCGCGGUAAUACGGAGGGUGCAAGCGUUAUCCGGAAUCACUGGGUUUAAAGGGUGCGUAGGCGGCAUUAUAAGUCAGAGGUGAAAGCCCGUCGCUUAACGAUGGAAUUGCCUUUGAUACUGUAGUGCUUGAAUCAAGUUGAGGCUGGCGGAAUGUGGCAUGUAGCGGUGAAAUGCAUAGAUAUGCCAUAGAACACCAAUUGCGAAGGCAGCUGGCUGGGCUUGAAUUGACGCUGAGGCACGAA
rnacentral:rRNA from 1 species